rnacentral:lncRNA from 1 species
GAGGUACUCGGGAAACAGCCCGAGCCCCCUAAAGUAUCACAAUAUCCUCAUCAGGAUAACAUCAUCGUAUCAUAAAUAUUCACAGCAUGUUCAUUGAUUAUAGUAAAGCAAUAGCAUGAAGCUAACCAUAAUAACCCAAAAGGUAAUCAUGGACAGGGUAAAUAUAAAACUAGUCAAUCCUUAGGUUUCAAUUAAGUAGUGCGGGACAGUGAAUUAUAAAUAGAUAGGACAUAAUGGGUCAGAGGACACUUGCCUUUACCAAACAGAUGCUAAGGGUCUUCAAUCUCGUAGAACUCGAAGAACCAGAUCACUUGGUCGCCAACUCUUGAUCUUCGAUUCCUCGAAGCACGGAAACAAAUCGCGAUCUAAUCGCAACGCGAAGCGAAGACGAACAAGCACAAGCAAACAAACAUGUAUAUAUGCAUAAGAACAUUACACCAUACAAGAUAAAAACAUAAUAAAAUAUGCAAAUGGAAUACAGCGCUACUACGGUCACGCGAGGAAAAAGAAACGCGACAGCCGGAGCUACGGUCAAGAAGUCAAUGGGUUUACACUAAACAAAUAUUAACUAUAACACCUAAUUCGACAUUAUCAAAUAUAAAUAUUCUACAUCAGCCAGUUCGAUUAAUUUGCUACACUAACAAAUGUUAGUUAAUAAAAUGAUUUAGUUAAAACGAGAGAUUCUAAGCGAGAUGAAUUUAUGACACGUGAAACAGCACGACAGCGUGCCAACGACGCGCGGACACGCGCGACGUAGCACGCUGACGACACACGAAACAGCGCGCGCGACGAGCGCGGACGCGCACGAAUCAGCACGCCGGCGCGCACGGAACGACACCCGCGACAGACGAGAAUAAUUAAACAGGUGACUCGUUUAUACUUAAAGAAUGUUAAAUAAAUAGAAAGCAGUUAAAUUAAUAUUAUCCAUGUUAAUAUUUAUUAUAAAAGCGCAAGUUGAACGCUACACGGUUAAUCUAAUUGGAAUAUUAAUCUAAUAAAUAUUAGUCGACCAAACUUUAAGUUAAUUAUCUAAAAUAUGUGGUCUGACGAAUUAAAGUUAUUAACAUGCGUGUUUAUAAGCGAAAACAAUUUAUUAUCACGCGCAGAUGCCACACGACACAUGUAAUCGACACACGAGACCAGCACGUGACAACGCGUGCGAACAGCACGCGACAACACGCGAAACAACGCGCGACAUGUGAAACAGCACGUGUGACGCGAACAACGCGUGACACGCGUGAAUGACGCGCCGACAACGCACGUGACAUCGCGAGAAUCGCUAAGAAAUAUCGCGUUUAUACAAAGCGAGUAUUAAAUUAAAUAUUUGAGUUCGUAUUAAUCAUAUUAACAUGUAUUUAUAAAGGUGCAAAGUAAAACUAUAAAUUAGCUUCAAUUAGAACGCUAUUUAAAUAACCAUCGGAUAAAUGAAUAAUUAAUUAAUUAAAACAUAUGUCAUGAUGAAAUUACAUUCUAACGCGUAAACGACAUCAUUAAAAAGCUAACGCGACUUAGACAGAUCAAAACAUAAUUUUUAACGCAAAAGAUACCGCUUAUUUACUAAAUGAGGGACCUAUUCGUGAUUAAACAUAUACCCCAAGGGGUAGCAAAUGAUUUUUGUGUGACUCAAAAAAUGGUAUAUUAAUUUUGGAAGAUAAUGGUGGCUUUUAUGUAGCAGAAAAGUCGAGCUGCGGCAAUAUGGCGAAAACCUAUUGGCCGGAGGCUUGCCACAUACAGGAUCACACCAGAACAGCCCUAGAAAAUCUUUUGUAGCAAAUACCCUAUAGGAAAAUGCCAUGAAGGAUAGCUACGUGAGUGGGGAUGCAUGUUUUCCUCUCUGGUCGCAUGAAGCAAGAGGGUGGGGAGGAGAAUACGGCAUGCAUUCCAUUUCUUAGGUGGCUACUGGCUUGUGGGCUGGUGUGGCGGCAUGCGUGCUGCGUGCAUGUGGGUGGGACCCACCGGCAGUUUUGCUUUCUCCUGAAGCACGCACACGAACUGGAGUGGAACUGGGUGGAGUAGAGCUCGCUGGCCGAUGGCCGCGGCUACUGCGACGAGCACGCCGGAAUGGAGAGAAAGAGAGGUCGUCAUGGGGAAAAGAAAGAGGAGGAAGGGGCUCACCUCGGGACGGUGCACGACGAGGAGGGAGGAAGGGGUGCGCAGAAGCUCCGAUGUGACUGCGCGACAGGAGGCUGCGCCCGCCAUGGCUGCGCGCCGAGAGCUCAGCUGGAGGUCGCGCGCAGGGAGACAUGUGGUUGGCCGCGCUGGCCAUGCGCAGGGGAGCUCCGCCGAGCCCAGGACUCUAGGCCGCGAGCGCAGUGCUGGGGGCUCAGUCGCGCGCCAUGGCCGCACGACGGGGCUACGCACAGAGGAGCUCUUGCUGCGCAGCGCGAUGAUGGGGAAGAGGGUCGGACGAGAGACAGAGAGGAGUGGAUUCUCACCUGCGCAUGAGGACAGGCCACCGCAGGGGCUCCUAGGGUCUUCGCCGAGGGACCUCACGACAUGCAGCGAGGGGGCGGUUGCACGGAGCAGUGCGAGCAGGAGCGCCGAGAGAAAGCGGAGAGCAGUUUGGAGAGGAGUGGGCGUUCUGGUGGAGGGUUGAAUAAGGCAUCGAGGCGCGCAAGAAAUGGUCUUGUCGGCGAAUGCAGGUGAGGUAUUCGGGCGCAAAGGCGAGGUACUUACGGCUGAGUCCGAGUGAGACUAGCACGCGCGAGAGGAAAAUAUAUACAUAUAUUAUCGAGUUUCCAGAAUUUUAUAGUUUUUCGUAAAUGCUAAAUUUUAGGUAUUUAAAUAAUAUUAGAAAAAAGCUGAAAUUCAUAUUUACUAACCGAAGAAACGUUUCGAGGAUUCCAACAAAUCUUGGAAAUAUCCUCGAGAUAUUUUAACCUGUUACGAUAACAAUUUACACUCAUAAACACUAUGCAAUGGCAUGAAUGCAACAAUCAAAGCUUCUCUAGGAUUCUAUUUUACUACGCUAAAAUUAUAUAUAUAUAAUAAAAUAACUCUCCAUUAUUUAGGAAAAAGAGAAGAAAAGUAAGGAAAAAAGAGUAACACCUGAAUUUGGUGGAUCUUAAAAAAGAAAUUUUAUACCCCCAAAUUCAGGGUGUUACAAAUCUAACACCCUUAACAGGAAUCUCGCCCUCGAGAUUCAAGCUAGAAGAGGCUAGCAAGAAAAUGAGAUUGAUUUAUUGGUUUUUCGUAGGUUCUUUAAUUCAACUUUGAUUCUUCCAGCUUAACUUGCGAACUGGUUGCUUUGACCUUCAGAUGUUCAUGAUCAGUUAAGGCAAUUCUUGAGGAUCUCCUGGACCUGGGGUUAGGACCCACACACGCUUCCGCUGCGCCACUCUGAUUUUGUUGGCUGAUGUUGAUCGUAUUGUCUUCAUUGGAGUUAGUGACUAACCCCCUUAACAGGAGCAUUGAUACAUACUUGGUGAAGAUGCAGCUGACUCUUAUCUUGAUUGAUUAAGAGUGGUUGGAGGUUGUCAACCGGACAGGUGCAAAAGGAAAGAUUAUAGAUAGAAAAGGUAAGCAUAGACGGAUUAAAGGGAGAGCACCCAACUACCUAACUCUAUGGCACUUGGCUAGUAAACUGAUGUCAUUGCGGACCAAGGACCACAACACAUCAACACUCAUCACAAAGAAGCAAAUCAGUCAUCACAUAAAGACAAACAACACAAGCAUACAACAACAAACAUCUCGUUGCUAUAUGUUAAUGUUAGUUAGAUGGUGGUCUUUCCUUAUCAAUGGGAAACUACUCUCUAAGGUUGUUGAAGGACAAUGAGUAGAACAAGGCGUGCAGGAUAUGGGCACGAGCACCAAAAAGGGUAGAGCUAAAGCAAGCAUUGUAGGCGACCAGGAAAAGGAUAUGACCAAGGGUAUAAUGGGCAGAACACUACUCUCGAGUUGAGAUAGACAAGGGGAGAUUCCAAAAAGCAGAUCUGAGAUAAGCAUCUAGACAGGAUCUAGUGAUUACGAAGGUAAGGGUGAUAUCAAACAAAAGCUAAGACUUGCAAUGCGACAGAGGAAAAAAAGAAACGACCAAGAGCGGGAUGGGUAAGACAACACUCUUGAAUCGAAAUGGGAGGGGAGGCAUUAAAAUGCAAGUACAUGAUAUGCAUCAAGGUAAAGAUUGAGGGAUGAGAAGAGUUAAGGUGAUAACAAACAAACACACAGCACGGGGUGUAUUUUGAACAAAACUUGCAAGGUGUCGAAGAAGGAAGAGCAGUCAAUGAUGAAGUAAGUGAGGCAUUAUCCUCGAACAGGGAUGAAAAAUAGGAGGCUUUGAAGGGUAGGUUCAAGGUAAGCAUGAAGAUAUGGGUAUAGAUAUUACAAGGGUUUAAAGGUGGUAAAGGACAAGGAUGUAGAAGAGGGGGUAAAUCAGCAUAAGAACAUAGGAUAUAGGUACCACAAAGGAUGGAGUUAGGACAAGACAUGCAAGUGGAAAAGAAGGCGGUGCGUCCAAGGGCCAGAUAGGUAAAUUGCCACUCUCGAGUUGAGGUGGAAGAGAGCAUAUUUUUAAAGGGCAAGAAUAAAGAUAAGUAUUAAGGCAGGAUCGAUGGAUGACAAGGGGAUGGUGAUAUUAAAUAAACACAACAAAGAAUGGAAUUAAGGCAAAACUGGCGACCAAGAGGGAAAAGAAAUCAAGGGAGAGAUAGGUAACUCACAACUCCCAAUUUGGGUUGAAAGAAAAGGGGAGGCUUUUGAAGGAUAAGUUCAAGGUAAACAUUUAGGUAGAAGACAUAAAUAUCGCAAGGGUCAGAGGCGAUAACAAACAAGGGUAUAAGAGAAAAGAUGAAGGCAUAGAAGAGCCAGCGGUACAAGUACAACAAAGAAUGGAAUUACGUCAAGGCCUGCAUGCGGUAAGGACGAGGAUAAUGCCAAGGGUAGGAUAAGUAAGACAUCGCUCUCAGAUUGUGACAGAAAAAGAGAUUCAAGUAAGCAUCAAGGCAAGAUUUAUAUAUUACAAGGGUAAGGCAGACAACAGACCAAAAGUACAACGAAGGAUCGAGUUAAGACAAGGCUUGCAAGUGGCAAAGAAGAGGAUAUAGCUAAGGGUCAGAUAGGUAGAUUACCACUCUCAAAUUGAGGUGGAAAAGAGUAGGAUUUAAAGGGUAGGUUCAAAAUAAGCACCAAGGUAAAGAUAUAGAUAUUACAAGGGUUAAAGGCGAUAACAGGCAAGGGUGUAAGAGAUAAGAGGUGAAGGUGCACAAGAACCAAGGGUAUGAGUACAAUAAAGAAUAGAGCUAAGGUAAGACUGGCACGUGACAAAGAUGAGGUUAUGACCAAGGGUGGGAUAAGUAGAACACCAGUCUCGAAUUGAGAGGGGAGAAGGGAGGUUUUAAGUGACAGACAUAUGAUAAGCAUCAAGGUAGGAUCACAAGGGUAAAUGUGAUAGGAAACAAAACACAUUAAACAAUGAAGUUGAAAGUUUGCAAGCAGCAAAGAAUAGGAUACAUCGAAGAAAAUGGGUAAGAUACAACUUUCAAAUUGAGACGGACAAGAGAAUAUUUUAGAGGGCAGGUAUAAGAUAAGCAACAGGGUGAGAUGUAGAGAUGACAAAGGUAAAGAUGAUAUCAAUAAAAGCAUGACAAGGAUAGAAUUAGGGUAAGACUCGCGGAAUGGUGAAUUAGAAGAAACAAUCAAGGGUAAGAUAGGUAGGGUUUCAAUAGAAGAGUUGAAGUAAAAAUUCAUUACCGAAGGAAAUUACAAGGAUUUAAUGAGAUCUCCAAGGAUGUGUGAAAUAAAAUGAAUGCUCAUGGAUCAUUGAGAAACAAGGGUGCUCAAGGGUAUUAAAAUGAAAUAUCUUAAACAGACCUUAGGAUAUAAAGGUAAGCAUAAAAAAGAUGAGAGUAUGAAAGAUUUCAAGGAGAUGAGCAUACCAAUACCAAGAGACAAGAAAUUGCCAAAAGAUAGCGACUUAAUAACAGAAGAGGAAAAGGUCUCAAAAGAUAGGAAGAUCAUGGAUAUAUGAACUGAAAUGUUUAAGUAGGCAGUGGAGAAUCAGCUGUAAGUAUUUGAAACACGAGUAUUGAAGAAUCCAGGGAUAUGUGCGUGUCAAUACUAAGGGAAUAAAGAUGGUGAAAGGGUAGCAAUUUAAGGACGGAAGAGGAAAGAAUCUCAAAAGACAAAAAGGCUAUGGUCAGGGGCACCUACAAAGAUGUCGCAAGCACAAGAGUGAGAUCAGAUCUAGUGGAUUGAGAAAAGUAUAGACCGUAAUAUAAUAAAACACUUUUGGCAAUGGGGGCACAUAAGAGCACAACAUAGAAUUAGUCGAUAUGACUAAUAUUUUGAAGUAGAAUCAAGGAUGGGGUGAAGUAAUAGUCAAUAAAUCCUUAAAACAACCAAUGCUACUCUAGGUCAGCGGUCCUACAGUCAGCAAGGGCUUUGAUACCACUUAUGUCGCACCCGGUUUUGGAAGGUAAACCGAAUGCGAACCAUGUACGUGCCAGGAUCAGAACUCACGUACAUAGCGAUUACAUAAAUGACUCAUCAUAGCACAAUGCUUCGAAUAACAAUAAAGGGUAAGUAAUAAUAUGAAAGACUAGAGUCAUUUACAUAGUAAAAUCAAAGUACACAGAAUAGAAACGUAGCCAACGUAAAUAAACCCACCACAGGUACCUGACUGGGGGAGGUCGCUAGCCUAAUCCUCGAACUCGUCGAAGCCCUAGAACUCCUAGAGAUCCGCCUCGACGCCUUCUUCUUUACCUGAGCAUAGAUUGCACCAAAGGCAACCUGGUGUUUUGUGAAAGCAAGGGUGAGUACACAUCAACGUACUCAGCAAAUGUCCCGUUUGGCUGUAGUGGACUAGCUUUAUGAGGGGUUAAGUCAAGUAGUUGCUUUUAGUUGGUCAGGUUAUUAUUACUAGUAGGAAGCCAGGUUUUAGCAUUAACCCAAGUUCUUAACCCAAAUUACCCUUCCCAAACGGAAAGAAUACCUCUUACCAUUGCUAUAAUCAUAAUCAAAAACCAUCAUCCUCAUCGCCACCUGUAAACCAACCAACUCUGAUCAAAGUAUCUCUAAUCAAAGAGGAUCCCAAGGCCGCUCAAAACCGUGAGCACGGCUGAUAUAUCAGUUUCUAACCCUCUGCAGAGGUCGCACACUUUACCCAUGAGCCGUGAUUCCCGUUUUGCCCGGGUAUCAUGACUCCCCAUUGAUCACUUCCUAGGUGGUCCGGCAGGGUAUCACUACGUAGCCUUUACAAAGAUUCCCUAGAGGUCAUAGCCGCCCGUUAGGUUUCUCCAGUUUGAUAAACACAGUACCUCUAUCCGCAGGAGGGUGACUAACAAAAGCAAAACGAAAGAACCUCGGCACUCAGCCUCGGCAGAGCAAGCACUGUGCCUGGACCCCAUUGACGGCACGACGGCAAAGCAACUACACCUCUAGUUCCUCUAAUUAAUUAGCUAAGGGCAUCCCAUUUCACCCUCAUGGUUGCACUGUUAUCCCGGGUGGUCUCUCAACGAACAGGUCCUUACGAAGAGAUACUCGGGAAACAGCCCGAGCCCCCUAAAGUAUCAUAAUAUCCUCAUCAGGAUAACAUCAUCGUAUCAUAAAUAUUCACAGCAUGUUCAUUGAUUAUAGUAAAGCAAUAGCAUGAAGCUAACCAUAAUAACCCAAAAGUUAAUCAAGGACAGGGUAAAUAUAAAACUAGUCAAUCCUUAGGUUUCAAUUAAGUAGUGCG